UGUGGUUUAGACAGGUAUGGUACAGUAUCAUACAGUAUGUGGUUUAGACAGGUAGGGUACAGUAUGUGGUUUAGACAGGUAUGGUACAGUAUCAUACAGUAUGUGGUUUAGACAGGUAGGGUACAGUAUCAUACAGUAUGUGGUUUAGACAGGUAGGGUACAGUAUCAUACAGUAUGUGGUUUAGACAGGUAGGGUACAGUAUGUGGUUUAGACAGGUAUGGUACAGUAUCAUACAGUAUGUGGUUUAGACAGGUAGGGUACAGUAUGUGGUUUAGACAGGUAUGGUACAGUAUCAUACAGUAUGUGGUUUAGACAGGUAUGGUACAGUAUCAUACAGUAUGUGGUUUAGACAGGUAGGGUACAGUAUCAUACAGUAUGUGGUUUAGACAGGUAUGGUACAGUAUCAUACAGUAUGUGGUUUAGACAGGUAUGGUACAGUAUCAUACAGUAUGUGGUUUAGACAGGUAGGGUACAGUAUCAUACAGUAUGUGGUUUAGACAGGUAUGGUACAGUAUCAUACAGUAUGUGGUUUAGACAGGUAGGGUACAGUAUCAUACAGUAUGUGGUUUAGACAGGUAUGGUACAGUAUCAUACAGUAUGUGGUUUAGACAGGUAUGGUACAGUAUCAUACAGUAUGUGGUUUAGACAGGUAGGGUACAGUAUGUGGUUUAGACAGGUAUGGUACAGUAUCAUACAGUAUGUGGUUUAGACAGGUAGGGUACAGUAUCAUACAGUAUGUGGUUUAGACAGGUAGGGUACAGUAUGUGGUUUAGACAGGUAGGGUACAGUAUCAUACAGUAUGUGGUUUAGACAGGUAGGGUACAGUAUCAUACAGUAUGUGGUUUAGACAGGUAUGGUACAGUAUCAUACAGUAUGUGGUUUAGACAGGUAGGGUACAGUAUGUGGUUUAGACAGGUAUGGUACAGUAUGUGGUUUAGACAGGUAUGGUACAGUAUCAUACAGUAUGUGGUUUAGACAGGUAUGGUACAGUAUCAUACAGUAUGUGGUUUAGACAGGUAGGGUACAGUAUGUGGUUUAGACAGGUAUGGUACAGUAUCAUACAGUAUGUGGUUUAGACAGGUAUGGUACAGUAUCAUACAGUAUGUGGUUUAGACAGGUAGGGUACAGUAUGUGGUUUAGACAGGUAUGGUACAGUAUCAUACAGUAUGUGGUUUAGACAGGUAUGGUACAGUAUCAUACAGUAUGUGGUUUAGACAGGUAGGGUACAGUAUCAUACAGUAUGUGGUUUAGACAGGUAUGGUACAGUAUCAUACAGUAUGUGGUUUAGACAGGUAGGGUACAGUAUCAUACAGUAUGUGGUUUAGACAGGUAGGGUACAGUAUCAUACAGUAUGUGGUUUAGACAGGUAUGGUACAGUAUCAUACAGUAUGUGGUUUAGACAGGUAUGGUACAGUAUCAUACAGUAUGUGGUUUAGACAGGUAGGGUACAGUAUCAUACAGUAUGUGGUUUAGACAGGUAUGGUACAGUAUCAUACAGUAUGUGGUUUAGACAGGUAUGGUACAGUAUCAUACAGUAUGUGGUUUAGACAGGUAGGGUACAGUAUGUGGUUUAGACAGGUAUGGUACAGUAUCAUACAGUAUGUGGUUUAGACAGGUAUGGUACAGUAUGUGGUUUAGACAGGUAGGGUACAGUAUCAUACAGUAUGUGGUUUAGACAGGUAUGGUACAGUAUCAUACAGUAUGUGGUUUAGACAGGUAUGGUACAGUAUGUGGUUUAGACAGGUAUGGUACAGUAUGUGGUUUAGACAGGUAUGGUACAGUAUCAUACAGUAUGUGGUUUAGACAGGUAUGGUACAGUAUCAUACAGUAUGUGGUUUAGACAGGUAUGGUACAGUAUGUGGUUUAGACAGGUAGGGUACAGUAUGUGGUUUAGACAGGUAGGGUACAGUAUCAUACAGUAUGUGGUUUAGACAGGUAUGGUACAGUAUCAUACAGUAUGUGGUUUAGACAGGUAUGGUACAGUAUCAUACAGUAUGUGGUUUAGACAGGUAUGGUACAGUAUCAUACAGUAUGUGGUUUAGACAGGUAGGGUACAGUAUCAUACAGUAUGUGGUUUAGACAGGUAUGGUACAGUAUCAUACAGUAUGUGGUUUAGACAGGUAGGGUACAGUAUGUGGUUUAGACAGGUAUGGUACAGUAUCAUACAGUAUGUGGUUUAGACAGGUAUGGUACAGUAUCAUACAGUAUGUGGUUUAGACAGGUAUGGUACAGUAUGUGGUUUAGACAGGUAUGGUACAGUAUGUGGUUUAGACAGGUAUGGUACAGUAUCAUACAGUAUGUGGUUUAGACAGGUAUGGUACAGUAUCAUACAGUAUGUGGUUUAGACAGGUAUGGUACAGUAUCAUACAGUAUGUGGUUUAGACAGGUAUGGUACAGUAUCAUACAGUAUGUGGUUUAGACAGGUAUGGUACAGUAUCAUACAGUAUGUGGUUUAGACAGGUAGGGUACAGUAUGUGGUUUAGACAGGUAUGGUACAGUAUCAUACAGUAUGUGGUUUAGACAGGUAUGGUACAGUAUCAUACAGUAUGUGGUUUAGACAGGUAUGGUACAGUAUCAUACAGUAUGUGGUUUAGACAGGUAUGGUACAGUAUCAUACAGUAUGUGGUUUAGACAGGUAUGGUACAGUAUCAUACAGUAUGUGGUUUAGACAGGUAUGGUACAGUAUGUGGUUUAGACAGGUAUGGUACAGUAUGUGGUUUAGACAGGUAGGGUACAGUAUCAUACAGUAUGUGGUUUAGACAGGUAGGGUACAGUAUGUGGUUUAGACAGGUAGGGUACAGUAUGUGGUUUAGACAGGUAUGGUACAGUAUCAUACAGUAUGUGGUUUAGACAGGUAUGGUACAGUAUGUGGUUUAGACAGGUAUGGUACAGUAUCAUACAGUAUGUGGUUUAGACAGGUAUGGUACAGUAUGUGGUUUAGACAGGUAUGGUACAGUAUGUGGUUUAGACAGGUAUGGUACAGUAUCAUACAGUAUGUGGUUUAGACAGGUAUGGUACAGUAUCAUACAGUAUGUGGUUUAGACAGGUAUGGUACAGUAUGUGGUUUAGACAGGUAGGGUACAGUAUGUGGUUUAGACAGGUAUGGUACAGUAUCAUACAGUAUGUGGUUUAGACAGGUAUGGUACAGUAUCAUACAGUAUGUGGUUUAGACAGGUAGGGUACAGUAUGUGGUUUAGACAGGUAGGGUACAGUAUGUGGUUUAGACAGGUAUGGUACAGUAUCAUACAGUAUGUGGUUUAGACAGGUAGGGUACAGUAUCAUA